UAACACAUGCAAGUCGAGGGGCAGCGAAGAGGUAGCAAUACCUUUGUCGGCGACCGGCGCACGGGUGAGUAACACGUAUGCAAUCCACCUGUAACAGGGGGAUAACCCGGAGAAAUCCGGACUAAUACCCCAUAAUAUGGGCGCUCCGCAUGGAGAGCCCAUUAAAGAGAGCAAUUUUGGUUACAGACGAGCAUGCGCUCCAUUAGCCAGUUGGCGGGGUAACGGCCCACCAAAGCGACGAUGGAUAGGGGUUCUGAGAGGAAGGUCCCCCACAUUGGAACUGAGACACGGUCCAAACUCCUACGGGAGGCAGCAGUGAGGAAUAUUGGUCAAUGGUCGGCAGACUGAACCAGCCAAGUCGCGUGAGGGAAGACGGCCCUACGGGUUGUAAACCUCUUUUGUCGGAGAGUAAAGUACGCUACGUGUAGUGUAUUGCAAGUAUCCGAAGAAAAAGCAUCGGCUAACUCCGUGCCAGCAGCCGCGGUAAUACGGAGGAUGCAAGCGUUAUCCGGAUUUAUUGGGUUUAAAGGGUGCGUAGGCGGCACGCCAAGUCAGCGGUGAAAUUUCCGGGCUCAACCCGGAGUGUGCCGUUGAAACUGGCGAGCUAGAGUACACAAGAGGCAGGCGGAAUGCGUGGUGUAGCGGUGAAAUGCAUAGAUAUCACGCAGAACCCCGAUUGCGAAGG
rnacentral:rRNA from 1 species